GAUGAAGAACGUAGCGAAAUGCGAUACGUAAUGUGAAUUGCAAAUUCAGUGAAUCAUCGAGUCUUUGAACGCACAUUGCGCCCCCUGGUAUUCCGGGGGGCAUGCCUGUCCGAGCGUCAUUGCUGCCUUCAAGCACGGCUUGUGUGUUGGGCCCCGUCCUCCGAUCCCGGGGGACGGGCCCGAAAGGCAGCGGCGGCACCGCGUCCGGUCCUCGAGCGUAUGGGGCUUUGUCACCCGCUCUGUAGGCCCGGCCGGCGCUUGCCGAUCAACCCAAAUUUUUAUCCAGGUUGACCUCGGAUCAGGUAGGGAUACCCGCUGAACUUAAGCAUAUCAAUAAGCGGAGGA
rnacentral:misc_RNA from 1 species